AGAACGAACGCUGGCGGCAUGCCUAACACAUGCAAGUCGAACGAGACCUUCGGGUCUAGUGGCGCACGGGUGCGUAACGCGUGGGAAUCUGCCCUUAGGUUCGGAAUAACUCAGAGAAAUUUGAGCUAAUACCGGAUGAUGACGUAAGUCCAAAGAUUUAUCGCCUAGGGAUGAGCCCGCGUAAGAUUAGGUAGUUGGUGGGGUAAAGGCCUACCAAGCCGACGAUCUUUAGCUGGUCUGAGAGGAUGAUCAGCCACACUGGGACUGAGACACGGCCCAGACUCCUACGGGAGGCAGCAGUGGGGAAUAUUGGACAAUGGGCGAAAGCCUGAUCCAGCAAUGCCGCGUGAGUGAUGAAGGCCUUAGGGUUGUAAAGCUCUUUUACCCGGGAUGAUAAUGACAGUACCGGGAGAAUAAGCCUCGGCUAACUCCGUGCCAGCAGCCGC
rnacentral:rRNA from 1 species